rnacentral:rRNA from 1 species
GCUUUGUGGUUCAACUGAUUUGAAGAGCUUGCUCAGAUAUGACGAUGGACAUUGCAAAGAGUGGCGAACGGGUGAGUAACACGUGGGAAACCUACCUCUUAGCAGGGGAUAACAUUUGGAAACAGAUGCUAAUACCGUAUAACAAUGACAACCGCAUGGUUGUUAUUUAAAAGAUGGUUCUGCUAUCACUAAGAGAUGGUCCCGCGGUGCAUUAGCUAGUUGGUAAGGUAAUGGCUUACCAAGGCGAUGAUGCAUAGCCGAGUUGAGAGACUGAUCGGCCACAAUGGGACUGAGACACGGCCCAUACUCCUACGGGAGGCAGCAGUAGGGAAUCUUCCACAAUGGGCGAAAGCCUGAUGGAGCAACGCCGCGUGUGUGAUGAAGGGUUUCGGCUCGUAAAACACUGUUGUAAGAGAAGAAUGACAUUGAGAGUAACUGUUCAAUGUGUGACGGUAUCUUACCAGAAAGGAACGGCUAAAUACGUGCCAGCAGCCGCGGUAAUACGUAUGUUCCAAGCGUUAUCCGGAUUUAUUGGGCGUAAAGCGAGCGCAGACGGUUAUUUAAGUCUGAAGUGAAAGCCCUCAGCUCAACUGAGGAAUUGCUUUGGAAACUGGAUGACUUGAGUGCAGUAGAGGAAAGUGGAACUCCAUGUGUAGCGGUGAAAUGCGUAGAUAUAUGGAAGAACACCAGUGGCGAAGGCGGCUUUCUGGACUGUAACUGACGUUGAGGCUCGAAAGUGUGGGUAGCAAACAGGAUUAGAUACCCUGGUAGUCCACACCGUAAACGAUGAGUGCUAGGUGUUUGAGGGUUUCCGCCCUUAAGUGCCGCAGCUAACGCAUUAAGCACUCCGCCUGGGGAGUACGACCGCAAGGUUGAAACUCAAAGGAAUUGACGGGGACCCGCACAAGCGGUGGAGCAUGUGGUUUAAUUCGAAGCAACGCGAAGAACCUUACCAGGUCUUGACAUCCCUUGACAACUCCAGAGAUGGAGCGUUCCCUUCGGGGACAAGGUGACAGGUGGUGCAUGGUUGUCGUCAGCUCGUGUCGUGAGAUGUUGGGUUAAGUCCCGCAACGAGCGCAACCCUUAUUACUAGUUGCCAGCAUUCAGUUGGGCACUCUAGUGAGACUGCCGGUGACAAACCGGAGGAAGGUGGGGAUGACGUCAAAUCAUCAUGCCCCUUAUGACCUGGGCUACACACGUGCUACAAUGGCGUAUACAACGAGUUGCCAACCCGCGAGGGUGAGCUAAUCUCUUAAAGUACGUCUCAGUUCGGAUUGUAGGCUGCAACUCGCCUACAUGAAGUCGGAAUCGCUAGUAAUCGCGGAUCAGCACGCCGCGGUGAAUACGUUCCCGGGUCUUGUACACACCGCCCGUCACACCAUGAGAGUUUGUAACACCCAAAGCCGGUGGGGUAACCUUCGGGAGCCAGCC